rnacentral:lncRNA from 1 species
ACACCAGCCGGGCUGUGGACACUGACACGAAGUGGUGGCCCCUCAGACUGGGAACAAGACGGAACCAGGAUUCCCUCCCAGGUACUGACAGGUGUAAGGCGGCUGAAAUGCUAGGGCCACCCGGGAAUGGGCCACCGCGCCCACACAGGGAACCCCACCUCCCUUGGAGCCAGAGCUCCCCAUUCAUCCUAAGAGCGAAGCUUUCGUAUUUUGAGCGAAAACAGGCCAGUUUGGGGGGGUGGGUGCCAGGAGACUGUGUCGGUGACAGGUUGCCUCAGCAUCUGAAACGCCCAAGGGACCCCUAAGAUUGUUCUCCGUGCCCUUGCCAGGCAUACGUGUGCGUUCCAGAAAUUGCAGGAGACACAGCACCCUGGCCACCCAGGACAGAAGCACGGGAAGGAGACGUGGCCUUACAACCUCAGCCUGCUCUGUGGGACCUGUUGGCCGCCGCAGCGGUCAUCUGGGCGCCCAGGCAGGGCCCCUCCCUCUACCCCGAGCCAACGCUGAGGGCACCGAUGCCGCCAGGCUGGCCGAUCGCUGAGCUGAUGUGAACGCAGUCGCCUGAUAUCUGCUCCUGGCGG